CUGGGCCGACAGAGGGAUAGGCGGCAGAUGAUCGUCCGGGCUGAGGCUGGUGGCCAUGCUGGGGAGAGAAGGGCGAAGGCGUGACACUCAGGUUGAAGAAACAGAGUCCCGGCAGGUAGUGUGGGAACAUGCCUAGAGAUGCAAAAAAACACAGCAAACCUCUAGAGUAUCAGAGCAGAGAUGAGAGAGGGUGGAAAUUACCUUCUAAGUUCAUUUUUUAAAGCUCAUUAUUUACUUUUAAAGUACUGUUUGUGCAGAACCCGAGGACAGGAACGUACUGACCCAUCCUUCCUCUGGCCGGCUGCCCUCCUGCUGAUGGUAAAUGUAAACGCCCGGAGUACUGGUAAACUGCCUGGUGGAAGCACGAAUUGGAAAAGACAAAAAAUAAGCUUCCUUGAGACCAUGAGUGCUCCAGGAUCCUGAAUAUGUAAGAUGCAUUAGUUCGUUAGUAAGUUCCCAGACUCUGCAGAUGCUGGGCGUGGGCGGGCGCCACUGACGCAGAAGGUGGUGUGCGCAGACACUCUGGUAAUCUCUGGGGACCUGUCUGGUCUGUGGCACAUAUGUUGGGGCCUCCAUCAGGGAUAGGCAGAGGCCAGGGCAGGACAUAGUGGCCUGGGUUCAAGGGAACGAGACAAAACUCCACAGGGGUUUUGGAGUUCAUUCAGCAGAACAUUGCAUGCAGAGCAGUGCGUGUCUGCACUAAGAGUCCCCUCCAGCUAAGGGCCUGGAGUCCCCAAGAAGUGGAGUGAUGUCAGCAGAGAGCGGCCAAGAAUGCCAUUCUUCCUACGAAAUUUGACAGGUUGUCCUAGGCUGAGGCUCUCAAGAUUUCAGGCAGAGAGGCUCAAAGAAAUGCAGUUCACUAUAGCAUGAGUCAGGUGCCUUGUCCCAGGACGAGCGUAGCAUGAGACUUCCCUGAGGUCCUUUUAACGGUGCAAUUGUCAAACCUCUUUUGAAGACCUGCCUUUUAAUGCCUUCCCCUGCUCCCUUCUCUUGGUUUUCAAGGGAACAGGGGUUUAUACCUGCACUUCUUUUAAACUGCAGCAUUGGCUCUAAGGGGAUGCUAAUAGUCUCUUAGUAUAAUGUCAGCGACAAGCUAGAAGAACUCAGAGAUUACAGGGAGGGGGAAAUGGUUCCAAGAAUAUGCCCUUAACUCUGCCAUAGAUCUGACACCCCAGAAACAUUUGGAAGGCAGAAUGGAGCUGGAUUCCAUAACUCAGGCGGUGUUGUCUUCCUACCAGAGGUCCAACGCUCUUUCCCACCUCCACUCCCCAAGUUGACCGAAGAACCCCUUUCAAAUUGCCCCCACCCUAAAUUAAUUGUAUCUGAUUAACCACAGUGUGAUGUUGCAGCAGGGGUGCAGUCAGAGGCCCAGGAUGUCCUUUGCUGUCUCUCAUUGGCUGCAGAUGUUGAAGCCUCGAGUUGCCGACAGAGAUUUCAGAGAGCUCUACCUCUGUCCUUCCUGAUUCUCCAGUGAGGUCUCUUAUUUGAUGGGCGUUUGGGGAAGUGGGCGGCAAGAGAGCUUUAGCUCUUUUGGGAAUCUUGAUUUCCUCAGCGUAGAUUGACUAAACUUUUCCAGAAAGUUAGAUACAGGCAAAUUUACAAUCUCACUCUAUGUGGUGAAUAUUUGUGGAGUUGAGGAGCUCAAAAAUGGCCACUAUUCUGGGCCUUGGGCUGAUGAAGGAAAAUGGUGUAUCACCACAGAGUAGCAAAGAUACGCUGUGUUGGUGUCAAACACACUUACAGCUUGGUUCCUCCGCUUAUAUUGAAGUGACCUUGUGCUAAUUGUUGACUGCACUGUGGCUCAAUUUGCUCAUCUAUAAAAAUCGUGCCUCCUUCUGAGUUGCCAUGAGGACUUACUAUAAAGUCACCAGCGGGCAGCCAGACAUAGUAAGUGACUGAUGAAGAGUAGCUGCUAUCAGAAUUAGUAUUGUUAAAAUGACUAUACUACCCAAGGCAAUCUGCGGAUUCAAUGCAAUCCUUAUCAAAAUACCAGUGGCAUUUUUCAUACAAGUAGAACAAAUAAUUCUAAAAUUUGUGUGGAAACAUGAGAGACCCUGAAAAGCCAAAACGAUCUUGAGAAAGAACAGAGCUGGAGGUUUCACACUUCUGGAUUUCAAACUAUACUACAAAGACAGUAAUCAAAACAGUAUAGUAGGGCUUCCCUGGUGGCGCAGUGGUUGGGAGUCCGCCUGCCGAUGCAGGAGACACGGGUUCGUGCCCCGAUCCGGGAAGAUCCCACAUGCCGUGGAGCGGCUGGGCCCGUGAGCCACGGCCGUUGAGCCUGCGCAUCCGGAGCCUGUGCUCCGCAACGGGAGAGGCCACAACAGUGAGAGGCCUGCGUACCACAAAAAAAAAAAAAAAAAUGGGACUACAUCAAACUAAAAAGCUUUUGCAUAGUGAAGGAAACUAUCAUCAAAACAAAGAAAAGCCACCUAGUGAACGGAAAAGACAUUUGCAAAUGAUAUAUCCAAUAAGGGGUUAAUAUCCAAAAUAUAUAAAGAAUUCAUACAACUCAACAUAAAAAAAACAUGGGAAGAGGGCCUGAGUACACAUUUUUCCAAAGAAGACAUACAGAUGGCUAACAGGCACAUGAAACGAUGCUAAAUAUCACUAAUCAUCAGGAAAAUGCAAAUCAAAACCACAAUGAGAUAACAGUGUAAAACCUGUCAGAAUGGCUAUUAUCACAAAGACAACAAAUAACAAGUGUUGGCGAAGAUGUGAAGAAAAGGGAACUCUUGUGCACUGUGUGUGGGAAUGUGAAUUGGUGCAGCCACUAUAGAAAACAGUAUGGAGGCGCCUCAAAAAAUUAAAAAUAAAACUACCAUAUGAUUCAGCGAUUUCACUCCUGGGUAUUAAUCCAAAGAAAAUGAAAACGCUAAUUCAAAAAGAUAUCUGCACCCCUAUGUUCAUUGCAGCAUUAUUUACAAUAGCCAAGCUACGGAAGCACCCUGAGUGCCUAUCGAUAGACGAGUGGAUAGAGAAUAUAUAUAUCACUCAUCCAUAAAAAAGAAUGAAAUCUUGCCACUUUCCACAACAUGGAUGGACCUAGAGGAUAUCAUGCUAAGUGAAAUACGUCAGACAGAGAAAGACAAAUACUGUAUGGUUUUACUUACAUGUGGAAUCUAAAAACUAAAACAAAUGCCCAAACAUAAAAAAAAAUAGAUACAGAGUCAUAGGUGGUUGCCAGAGGGGAGAGAGGUGUGGGGAGGAGGGAACUAGGUGAGGGAGAUUAAGAGGUGCAGACUCGUAGUUACAAAAUAAAUGAGUCACAGGUAUGAAACGUACAGCAUGGGGAAUAUAGUCAAUAAUUGUGUAAUAUCUUUGUAUGGUGACAGAUGGUAACUAGACUCAUCGUGGUGCUCAUUUUGAAAUGUAUAGAAAUAGCCAAUCACUGUUGUGCACCAGGAACUAACAUAGUGCCGUAGGUCAAUAUACUUCAAAAACAAACAAACAAUUACUCAGCCAUAAAUAGAAAUGAAACUGAGCUAUUUGUAGUGAGAUGGAAGGACCUAGAGUCUGUCAUACAGAGUGAAGUAAAUCAGAAAGAGAAAAACAAAUACCGUAUGCUAACACGUAUAUAACACGUAUGGAAUCUAAGAAAAAAAAAUGGUUCUGAUGAACCUAGAGGCAGGACAGGAAUAAAGACACAGACGUAGAGAAUGGACUUGAGGACAUGGGGAGGGGGAGGGGUAAGCUGGGUCAAAGUGAGAGAGUAGCAGCUGCAUAGCACAGGGAGAUCAGCUCGGUGCUUUGUGACCACCUAGAGGGGUGGGUUAGUGAGGGUGGGAGGGAGACGCAAGAGGGAGGGGAUAUGGGGAUAUAUGUAUACGUACAGCUGAUUCACUUUGUUAUACAGCAGAAACUAACACAACAUUGUAAAGCAAUUAUACUCCAAUAAAGAUGUUAAAAAACAAACAAACUCGUAGAAAAAGAGACCAGAUUUGUAGUUACCAGAGGCAGGGUGUGGGGGAGAUAAUUGGAUGAAGGUAGUCAACAGGUACAAACUUCCAGUUAUAAAAUAAAUAAGUACUAGGGAUAUAAUGUACAGCAUGGUAAGUAUAAUUAAUGCUGCUGUAUGUUACGUAUGAAAGUUGUUAAAAGAGUAAAACCUAAAAUUUUUCCUAUUUCUUUAAUUUUGUACCUAUAUGAGAUGUUGGAUGUUCACUAAACUUUCUGUGAUAAUCAUUUCAUGAUAUAUGUAAGGCAGAUCAUUAUGCUGUACACAAACUUACACAGUGCUACAUGUCAAUUAUAUCUCAAUAAAACUGGAAGAAAAAAAGCUUUCUUCUCUUGGCCUCUGUGACUCAAUCAUCUCUGGGGUUUUCUCCUACUUCUCUGGCACCCUGUCCAUCUUCUUUAACACUCAUUAUCCUCUCCCUGACCCUUAAAUGUUAGAAAGCUUCAUGGCUCAAUCCUAUUCCGUGUCUUUUAUCAACAUUACAUUUUCUCCCUAGGCAAUCUCAUCUACACUCUCUCUUCAAUCAGCAUCUAUACACUGUUGAUUUAAAACCAUUCAAAUUUAGUUGAGACCUCUUCUCUGAGCUCCAGAGUAAUUACUACCUCUUUCAAUGGCAAACUCAAUAUGUCCAGAAUGAAGCUCGUAUAAAUUUUAAUGACUGAUACCACCAUCAAUUCAAUUAUGCAUAUUUGAAAUAUAGGCACCUCAACACCUCUCUGCUCCCCACCUCCUAUAUACACCCCAUCUCCAAAUUUUGUUGAUAUUAUCCUCCCACUUCCUUCCAUUGCCAUUCCUUCCACUACACCCAGCUUUUAGCUCCCAUCUCUUCUUACCUGCAUUACUGAAAUAGCUCAAAACUCAUCUGUGCACAUCUAGUCUGGCCCUGCAAGAGUCCAUUCGCACCAUGGCCAGGAUGAUAUUUUUGAAAUGUGAAUCUGCAAAUCUAAUCAUGCAAAUUUAAUUCUCUCCCUCUCAUUCUCUCUCUCUGUCUCUCUGUCUCUCUCUGUCUCUCUGUCUCUCUCUGUCUCUCUCUCUCUCUCUUUCACACACACACACACACACACACACACACACACACACACACACACACCCCACACAGCUUAAAAGAAGGCUUAGGAUGUAAACAAAAAUUAUCAACAUGGACUGGCCCUCCCUUGACUUAUCUUACCAUGCUUUCCUCGCUCUCUGCUUUUCUGUCAUCCUGGUCCUGUCUCAGCCCUUUAGCUUUCAUCCUGCCUCUGGUCUUUGCCUGUGCUCUUCCAUCUGUAUGAAAUGCUCUUUUCUCUCCUCAUUACCUGGUUAACUCCUUCUCUUCCUCCAGAUCUGAAAUCAAUUGUCCUUUUCUGGAGGAAACCUUCCCUGAACCCCUUGACCAAGUAAGUGUCACUCUGCUAUGUUCACAUUGGCACAAUGUAUCUCUCAUUUGUAGUGCUUAUAGCAGUUGUAAUCUUACAAUAGUUUCCAUGAUUAUUUCAUUCAUGUAUGAUACCUCUGCCAAGUUUUAAGCUCCAUGAAAUAAAAAAUUUUGUCUGUUUUUGCUCA